UAUUUACUCACGGUAUUUAUUUAUACAUACACUUUAAAAAUCACGUAUUCUAACACUUUGCUGUUUCCUUCCAAAGUUUUGAAUAGAAUUCAGUUGCUCCAAGACACACAUUCAUUUACAUGUGGGUUUUUUUUCUUUACUAAAAUACAUUUACUUUUAGUAUUCUCAAGUGCAAAAGAGAGUUGAAUCUUCUAUUGCAUAUGAAAUGGAGACUAGUCUUCCACAAAGAGUAAAAUGAAGUUUUGUAAUGGCCAUCAUCUGUAAUUGCUUACAAUGACAGCAUAAACUCUAGGAUUUUGUUUUAACUUCAUGGCUACAUGGGUAAAGUUAGGUUUGAAAAUCAUUUCAAAAACAAAAUUUAUCAAACAAAAAACCUGGACAGGUUUUUAUUUUUUAUUUUUUUGAGAUGGAGUUUUGCUCUGUUGCCCAGGCUGGAGUGCAGUGGCGCGAUCUUGGCUCACUGCAACCUCUGCCUCCCAGGUUCAGGUGAUUCUCCUGCCUCAGUCUCCUGAGUAGCUGGAACUAUAGGCACCUGCCACCACAUCUGGCUAAUUUUUUUGUAUUUUUAGUAGAGAUGGGGUUUCACCAUGUUGACCAGGCUAGUCUUGAACUCCUGGCCUCAAGCGAUCUGCCUGUCUCAGCCUCCCAAAGUGCUGGGAUUACAGGCGUGAGCCACUGCACCAGGCCCUGGAUAGGUUUUUAACACAUUGAAAGUUUUCCUUAGAAAGAACCACAAAAUCUUUUAAAUUUUCCUAAAAAACCCUAUAACUAUUCCAUAAAAUAUAUUUUGUACUUAAUUUAUGCUGAAAAUAGAGCUUUGAAAAAAAUAAUUAAAAACUCAUCUCGUGUCUUCAGUCAAAAAAAAUUCUCAUAAAACUCCAGCAAAACGUUUCAUUACACAAUUUAUCACAUUACAAUAGGAAGAAUUACACAUUUGGGGGACACAUUUCAGUAUGGGCUUUGUCAACAUACUCCUGCAAGAAUGCCAUCAGUUGAUUAGGGUAGUAGGCAGUGAUUCUCAACUCGGGGUUGGAGCCCUCAUUAGUGGGUGGUGGAACCAUAGUAAUGGGUGUGAACUUUUUUGGGGGGAGGUGUAAAGGAACUAGAGCAGGACUGGAUAGAAAAAUAACAGCGUCCUUUGUAUGAUGCAAGAUAACAAUUUUCUAAUACCUUUGAUGUACGUGUAUUCUGCACCAUGAUGUCAAAUGGAUUUCUUACUGUGGGACAAAGUAAAAAAAACAUUGAGGGAGGCUGAAGCACAAGAAUCACUUGAACCCGGGAGGCGGAGGUUGCAGUGAGCCAAGAUCGCGUCACUGCACCCCAGCCUGGGCGACAGAGUGAGACACUGUCUCAAAAAAAAAAAAAAAAAAAAAAAAAAAUUUUGCCAGGCGAGGUGGCCCACGCCUGUAAUCCUAGCACUUUGGGAGGCUGAGGCGGGUGGAUCACGAGGUCAGGAGAUUGAAACCAUCUUGGCCAACAUGGUGAAACCCUGUCUCUACUAAAUAUACGAAAACAUUAGCUGGGCGUGGUGAUGCAUGCCUGUAGGCCCAACUACUCGGGAGGCUGAGGCAGGAGAAUUACUUGAACCUGGGAAGCAGAGGUUGCAGUGAGCCAAGAUUGUGCCACUGCACUCCAACCUGGUGACAGAGUGAGACUCCAUCAAAAAAAAAAAAAAAAAAAAAAAAAAAAGAGAAAAAAGAGAUAGAAUUUUGGAAACCCAGAGAGGCCAUAACAGGGAAAAGAAAAAGCAGGCCAGGUGCGGUGGCUCACACUUGUAAUCCUAGCACUUUGGGAGGCCAAGGUGGGUAGACUGCCUGAGCUCAGGAGUUCGAGACCAGCCUGGGCAACAACAGUGAAACCCCAUCUCUACUAAAAUACAAAAAAUUAGCUGGUCAUGGCAGCGUGUGCCUGUAAUCCCAGCUACUCAGGAGGCUGAGACAGGAGAAUCACUUGAACCCGGGAGGUGGAGGUUGCAGUGAGCCGAGAUUGUGCCACUGUACUCCAGCCUGGGCAACAGAGCGAGACUCCAUCUCAAAAAAAAGAAAAAGAAGAAAAAGAAGAAACCGGGUUUCUCAACUCCAUGUCCUGUGCUUUUCUGACUCUGCAAGAGCCAAGAGGUGUCUUCCUAGGAUGGUCACAGGGAGGUAAUUCCCCCAGCAUGGAGGGUCUGAGUCAAGGGUAAGCUCUGUGCAAGGUGUAUGGCGGGGCGGGAGAAGGUUACCUUGCCCAUAACCUUGCUGCUUACUCCGGUGAGAAAAGAGAAGCAAUCAGAAGAGCAUGUCCACCUGCUCCCCUCACUGCCUCUGCCUACCCACCCGCCUACCUAUCUACAUUUGCCAAGUACUCCGCCAGCCCUCUCCCUAUGAUCUGCCGUGUUUCUGUAGGCCUGAGCUCUACAUAUGCACUACAUCCCAUUCCCUUUGGCUAGCCGUAGUUUAAAAGUAUGUCCACAAAUUCCUUCUGAAGUUGCCAAAUCUAACAAAUAAAAAUACAGGUCAUACAUUAACUUUGAGUUUCAGAUAAAGUCAUUAUUUAGUGUAAGAAUUCCCUAUGCAAUAUUUGGAAUACACCUAUACUAAUAAGCCUUUGUUUAUCUUUAUUUGGAUGUCUGGCCACCCUACUUUGUACUUAGUGACUCCCUUCUAACAAAUCAGAGUAAGGGAUGACAUGCAACUUCUAAUACUAGGUCACAAAAGACACUGUGGUUCCCAUCUUAGUCUCUUGCUCUCUUGGAUGGCUUGCUCUGGGGGAAGUCAGCCAUGCUGUGAGGACAUUCAAGCAGCCCUGUGGAGAGGCCAUGUGGCAAGGAACAAUGGCCGCCUGCCAAAAGCCAUGUGUGGAAGCUUGGAAGAGGGUUCUUCUAGCCCCGGACAAGCUUUUAGAUGACUGUACCCUCAGGAGGAACUUGGACAGAAUCACCCUGCUAAGCUGGAUUCCUGAUCGACUGAAACUGAUAACAAGCACAGAGAAAGAGACAUGAGUCGUGAGCAGCCCAGGAGUGAUCAAAGUGCGCCCGUGGGAAAAGCCACCACCAGGUCUUGCUCUGUCGUCCAGGCUGGCCUCGACUUCUCAGGCUCAAGCAACCCACCUCAGCCUCAGUAGCUGGGACUACAAGUGCACACCACCGUUUGACUAAUGAAAAAAAAAUUUUCUUGGAGUCUUUCUCAAAGAAGCUAUUCAAAUGAAAGUAUAUUUAUUUUUAUAAAUGUUUCCUCCAGUAAGUUUAUGUUUGACUGUACUUAAGAAACAGGAAAAAAA
rnacentral:lncRNA from 10 species